AUGGACCCGCGGCGCAUUAGCUAGUUGGUGAGGUAACGGCUCACCAAGGCAACGAUGCGUAGCCGACCUGAGAGGGUGAUCGGCCACACUGGGACUGAGACACGGCCCAGACUCCUACGGGAGGCAGCAGUAGGGAAUCUUCCGCAAUGGACGAAAGUCUGACGGAGCAACGCCGCGUGAGUGAUGAAGGUUUUCGGAUCGUAAAGCUCUGUUGUUAGGGAAGAACAAGUACCGUUCGAAUAGGGCGGUACCUUGACGGUACCUAACCAGAAAGCCACGGCUAACUACGUGCCAGCAGCCGCGGUAAUACGUAGGUGG
rnacentral:rRNA from 1 species